rnacentral:rRNA from 1 species
CGGGUGAGUAACGCGUGAGGAGCCUGCCUCAAAGAGGGGGACAACAGUUGGAAACGACUGCUAAUACCGCAUAAGCCCACGGCUCGGCAUCGAGCAGAGGGAAAAGGAGUAAUCCGCUUUGAGAUGGCCUCGCGUCCGAUUAGCUAGUUGGUGAGGUAACGGCCCACCAAGGCGACGAUCGGUAGCCGGACUGAGAGGUUGAACGGCCACAUUGGGACUGAGACACGGCCCAG